AGGUCACCUCUAACCGCUAAGCCCCUUGUCAGGUUAUUUCUCUUAGCAAUAAGGAGCAAUUGACCUUAAAUCAUUGAAGCCAGGUAGAUGAACCUAUUCCACAAGGUCUGUUGGCUCCACCCUUAUUAAGUGAAAUCUGUCAGCUGUGGAUCAUAUGACCUUUGCUAUAUAGGAAUCAUGAGGAGGCAUGGGGAGGAAUUGUCUCUCUAGGGGAGUUUGGGGCUCAGGUUACCUAGGGUGCUUUUCUAUCAUCAUGGUGAAAUAGACUCAGUGUUCCUCAGUAGGCUGCUUUGUCUCUGUGUUUUCCACCGUUUCUGUGAAAGAGUUUUAGAGGCUCUAUGAGCUAAUUCUGUUGGUGGUGUCUUCUCAGUACAGUAAAACCCUGGUGGUACUACUUCACUGGGAAGCAGUUUUGAAGUGACUCAAGUUCAGAAGCUGGCAGCAGGGUGCUUUAAGAGGAGCUCCAAAAUCACUUAAGGCAAUAGCACUGAAUAGAAGCCAUUGAAAAAAAAAAUGAGAGGUCAUGGAUUUUCUGAGCUUCAUGGUGCUGCACAGCCAUUGCAAAACCUCUGUCACUGGUGGCAGUGCAGGAGAAGGAACUUCAGUCAUGUGAAGAUUUUCAAUACAGUCACUUUUCAAAAAGAGGACCCUGGAAAACAGCUCCCCUGUGUAUUGAAGCUGGAUGUCAUAAAUAAGCUUACCAGAAUCUCAACUGCCAAACCCAGAAAUGUCUUGCUGAUAACUCCUAUGAAGACUUUUUACCAUAUUUGAACAUGUUGCUCUAUAAUCCAAAGAAUUGAACAGUUCUCCCUACAAAUAACCAUCGUCAUAGAAAUGUAUUUAUCUUCAUGCAGUUAUUCUAUACGUUAUACUUGCUGUUUUCAGUCCUCAGAGGUCACUCAAAACCAAUCCAAAUCCAAUCAAACAAAAAACAAAGCACAAUAAUACACCUGAAAAAUCUACACCACUGUUAUAUCAGAAAAAAAAAACCUUUCUUGCGAACACUUUAUGCUCAUAAUGCUCACAACAUUCCAAUGUAUGCUACUGAUAAUCAUUAUUAUAUUAACAAUCUUUAACUUUUUA